rnacentral:rRNA from 1 species
GAUGAACGCUAGCGGGAGGCCUAACACAUGCAAGCCGAGCGGUAGAGUCUCUUCGGAGACUUGAGAGCGGCGCACGGGUGCGGAACACGUGUGCAACCUGCCUUUAUCUGGGGGAUAGCCUUUCGAAGGGAAGAUUAAUACCCCAUAAUAUACUGGAUGGCAUCAUCUGGUAUUGAAAACUCCGGUGGAUAGAGAUGGGCACGCGCAAGAUUAGAUAGUUGGUGAGGUAACGGCUCACCAAGUCAGCGAUCUUUAGGGGGCCUGAGAGGGUGAACCCCCACACUGGUACUGAGACACGGACCAGACUCCUACGGGAGGCAGCAGUGAGGAAUAUUGGACAAUGGGUGAGAGCCUGAUCCAGCCAUCCCGCGUGAAGGACGACGGCCCUAUGGGUUGUAAACUUCUUUUGUAUAGGGAUAAACCUAGAUACGUGUAUCUAGCUGAAGGUACUAUACGAAUAAGCACCGGCUAACUCCGUG